rnacentral:rRNA from 1 species
GACGUAGGGCGCGAGCGUUGUCCGGAUUUAUUGGGCGUAAAGAGCUCGUAGGCGGCUUGUCGCGUCGACCGUGAAAACUUGGGGCUCAACCCCAAGCCUGCGGCCGAUACGGGCAGGCUCGAGUUCGGUAGGGGAGACUGGAAUUCCUGGUGUAGCGGUGAAAUGCGCAGAUAUCAGGAGGAACACCGAUGGCGAAGGCAGGUCUCUGGGCCGAUACUGACGCUGAGGAGCGAAAGCGUGGGGAGCGAACAGG